rnacentral:rRNA from 1 species
AUUGAACGCUGGCGGCAUGCUUUACACAUGCAAGUCGAACGGUAACAGGCCGCAAGGUGCUGACGAGUGGCGAACGGGUGAGUAAUGCAUCGGAACGUGCCCAGUCGUGGGGGAUAACGCAGCGAAAGCUGCGCUAAUACCGCAUACGAACUCUGGAUGAAAGCGGGGGACCGAAAGGCCUCGUGCGAUUGGAGCGGCCGAUGUCAGAUUAGGUAGUUGGUGGGGUAAAGGCCCACCAAGCCAACGAUCUGUAGCUGGUCUGAGAGGACGACCAGCCACACUGGGACCGAGACACGGCCCAGACUCCUACGGGAGGCAGCAGUGGGGAAUUUUGGACAAUGGGCGAAAGCCUGAUCCAGCCAUGCCGCGUGCAGGAUGAAGGCCUUCGGGUUGUAAACUGCUUUUGUACGGAACGAAAAGACUCUUUCUAAUAAAGAGGGUCCAUGACGGUACCGUAAGAAUAAGCACCGGCUAACUACGUGCCAGCCGCCGCCGUAAAAC